UACACAAAGUAUACGAAAAAAUAUAUGACGUCCCUCUCCCAUCGUUCGCAAGAGUGCAUGAGAGAGGACGCUAGAGAUCUUGUAAAGAUCAAAUUGAGAUUUCCGACUGACGCUUCGGUUGCGGUGUUGACGCACCGCCCGUUGUGCUCGUCUUUCGGACGCAAACGCGUGCGCUAUCCUUAUGAAAUAAAAAAAAUAUCGAUAGAAUCUCGGAAUAAAGAGAGCGAUCUCAUUAUUCCACUUGAACGAAGGGAACGUUUAUCGUUGCCUCUGCAAUUCUGUGCUGAAAGGCGAGCUUGUGCCGCCGCUGCUCACCGCGGGCAACCUAAUGAGCACAUAAUACGAACCCGUCGUUGGCGUGUAAUGAAGACAUUACACCGAUGGCGUUCGUAUGCUCAGGGAGGAAACACUGCGCGUGCAAACGCGUAUGUCGUUCACCAAGGUUUUUAAAUGAAACUUCGCCCAAAGAUGUAAAUAUCUGAGUGAGCAGCGCCGAGCCGCUUUUAUCCGGGUAUCACGCUAUGCGCGAUUUCCGGACUUUCAGCCGUUUUGCUGUCGCGGUCCUUUGAAUUUCCUACGGGAGAAUCUUUUGACCAGCGACUUCGCGAGUCGCGCCUUAACGGGCGGGCUCGCGAGACCGUCUUGUCGACGAAAAUCGAAUUUUAGAACAAUAACAUUUUGAGAAUGCUGUUUGUAAAGCACAAAUAUGUAUUUAUAUGAUUACCCUGAACGGUGGAUCACUUGGCUCGUGGGUCGAUGAAGAACGCAGCUAAUUGCGCGUCAACUUGUGAACUGCAGGACACAUGAACAUCGACAUUUCGAACGCACAUUGCGGUCCACGGAUACAAUUCCCGGACCACGCCUGGCUGAGGGUCGUUUACGCAUAAAAGUAAGACUGCUCUUGCGAAAUAUUCGCGAGCGAAUGUAUUGGGCGCUCGUCGAUGGCUGAGAAGCUAAUCGGCGUCGCUUGAAGUCAUGCAAUCGAUGGCUACGGAUACCAAGCACAAAACUUGUUCCGUACCUCGAUGAGCGUGCGUUACGCGGAUCCUUAACGGGAAAUACGCGUACGCACGCGAGACUCUAUGAGAGUAUCGAGCUGAAACCAAAGUUGAGCUGAUCGAAGAGAUCGAGAAACUAUGAACGCGCAAUCGUUCUAAAAGGGUCGUCCCUGUGAACCGUGUUGUUCGUAAUGCAUCUCGUGCGAAAUCCACCGCUCACAUUGAGAAGUGAACGCGCUGCUCAACGGUCGGUCGAUCGAGUCCCGGAGCUAUUCGUAGUACAAAGGACAGAUACGACUGAUCGUGAGUGGGCGUUGUGUAGCGCAAGGAUCUCCACAAUAUAGGAGCAAACGAACUAUAAACACGAUGUGGUUCACGUGACAAUUGAACGCGAAGACCCUCGUUUCUCUAUCGUUGAACUUCUUUCAUCCACACACUAGA
rnacentral:rRNA from 1 species